AAACAGCCCCCUAUGUAUUGGUUCUUUGGCAGUUUUGACCCCCGAGACCACUUUUGACUUAGUCUUCGCUGACGUGGCACCCACAAUGGUCGACAUGUGGCACCUCACUUAAGGGAUGUGGGUGCCACAUCAGCGAAGAUUGAGUCAAAAGUGACGGGGCCAAAACUGCCAAAGAUCCAAUACAUAGGGGGCUGUUU
rfam:Medicago truncatula strain A17 chromosome 2, whole genome shotgun sequence.